AAUUGUUGUCAUGACAUUUAGAUGGCAUUCUUUGUGAGAACACUUUUCCAGCUUUGUGACGUAGGGUAACCUGAAAGUUCUAUAAAGCAAGGUGACUGCAUUUAUUCAUUCACUUGUAAGGUGUUACUCCAGUGCAUGCAUUUUAGUAUAGCUCCUUUCAAUACACGAUGGCGAGUACUUCAGGAAGAUUUAACUCGGGACCUCGAGACCUUGGGGAGAUUGUGCGUCAAUAUUUUGACGAACUCCUUGAUGUGGACAUCUGUGCAGUCAGUAUCCUACCUUUCACCGAGCAGUUUUCUGCUGAGGAAUUGCAGAUGAUCAGGGCUGCUUUCCUUAUCGCGGUGUUUGUGCUAGAGAGAGGGCCAGUCAUAAAGCUGCUCACCACAGCCAUCUCCAAAAACGUGGCUAACUUACUUCAUGACGCCGUGGACAUAAUGGCCAGAAAGAGAGCCUUGUUAGAGUCUGACACAGACACUGAGGCCGUCUCAGUCUCAGAGUACUCCAUCUCAGAGUCAGACACCUCAGUGUCCACUUCCCGCCUGCCUGAGGACAACCUCCGGUCCCAGGACUGUGGUGGACACAGUGGGACUCUGUGCCCUGGACAAGGGGGCAGUGUUCUGGCAAAGAGAGGAGUCACUGAAACCCUGAUCAGCUCCAGCAGCAGCAGCAGAAACAGUAGCUGCAGCAGUAUCACUAGUGAGAUGAGUAGGCCUCACAGUACCUCCACCUGCUCUGUGAAAGAUCUUCCUACUGAGAGACCACAUGUGUCCUCCUCCAGCCUUUCCACCAGGCCAGAGGAGGCUGUUGCAACUCUAGCCAUGAGCUCCCACGAGGACUCAGCAAAUAUGAAGUCCUCAAGAGGAGAGGAUAAACAGCGGAGAAAAAGGAUCUUUACAAUCCACUGGAAAUCUAAAAGAUCUAUAGCUCCAUCGCCAGUGGUGGAGAAGCCUGUUACCCAUUCCCCAGAGAGGACCAGGAGGCCAUCGCUGUCAUCACGCUUAGCCUCUGGCAUCUGCAGACUCUUUUGCUGCUGUGGUAAAGGUCAGGAUUGACCUCUUGUGGCAGGAAGAGGAGUUGAACCUCCUUUAAUUUCAAUGUUUUGCUUUGGGCCUGAAGAUUCAAGGUCCACGAUCCCAGUUGCUUUGGGCCCAGGCAGGGGCUUGUGAAAGUACUGAUCUGACCACUUUCAAAGUACCUUCCCUUUGGGCUGAGGGUGCGAUCAUAACGGACUGCACAAGGGCAGGAGCCACGUGCGCCAGUAUUGUUAUGAUGUUGCUCUGAAU
rnacentral:lncRNA from 1 species